UUUCCCUGUACUAUUUUGCCAGUUUUGGAAAAGGGAAAACAGACUACGGUAUUGUUCAAGUUUUUGGCAAUGCACAUUCUUACAUAAGAAAAGCUUUUCCAGCAUCAUCAACGUAUAGUGGAAUUCUAAUCAACAGAGAUUGCAGAGAUUGUAACUACAGGACUAUUCUACAUUUGGGAUACAGAGCUUUUGGGAAGAAGAAUGCACCACAUCUGCUUCUGUGGCAUAUGGUAUCUGACAAGAGGAUCUGGGACUAUUUUCUGGACAGGACAAACGUGUAACGAGAUAUGCAAAGAAGAUCAGAAGAAUAUAAUUUGAUCCUUUUUGGAAGC
rnacentral:lncRNA from 1 species